UACGUAGGGGCCUAGCGUUGUCCGGAUUUAUUGGGCGUAAAGAGCUCGUAGGCGGCUCGUUGCGUCGGCUGUGAAAACCCGCAGCUCAACUGUGGGCUUGCAGCCGAUACGGGCGGGCUGGGAUUCGGUAGGGGAGACUGGAAUUCCUGGUGUAGCGGUGAAAUGCGCAGAUAUCAGGAGGAACACCGGUGGCGAAGGCGGGUCUCUGGGCCGAUACUGACGCUGAGGAGCGAAAGCGUGGGGAGCGAACAGG
rnacentral:rRNA from 1 species